AAGUGUUCAGAAAACGGUGCGGCCGGCGCGGCCCACUCCUACGGGAGGCAGCAUUUCCACUCCUACGGGAGGCAGCAGUGGGACUCCUACGGGAGGCAGCAGUGGGACUCCUACGGGAGGCAGCAGUGGGACUCCUACGGGAGGCAGCAGUGGGACUCCUACGGGAGGCAGCACUCCUACGGGAGGCAGCAGUGGGACUCCUACGGGAGGCAGCAGUGGGACCUACUCCUACGGGAGGCAGCAGUGGGACUCCUACGGGAGGCAGCACUCCUACGGGAGGCAGCAGUGGGACUC
rnacentral:misc_RNA from 1 species